GUCGUAAGAAAAUAGUCCAUCAUAGCCGACCAAGAAGAUGUUCAAACAACCAAGAGAUAUGUUAGUCCAAAGACAGAAUGAGGAGCGAACUUUUACCACUUAUUUGUGUAGAAGAGUAUGGUACCAGGGGUACAGCUGACUCUGAUUCCCGGCUUCUUCUAAUGAAAAAAGGCAGAUGAGGCACUGGAAUCCGAAUGUAAUCAAAAAUGCCGUGGUAUGAGGAUUGACCUGCAAUGCAUGGAAAUCAUCUAACACAACUGCAAUGCCUACCUUGGAAAAAUGAGUGCAAGAUGGAAACAAAGCGUUCAGUGGAACAUCUUGUUAUCUCAAAUAUUUGAUGACUUACAUACUGAUGUGAAGUUGAAGAUAAAAGUCAUCUGUUGGUCUGUGAUUAUUAAAUAAAUCCGAACAUAUAUUUUAAAAGGGUAAUAUGGUAAAGGAUAUAUCUACGCUUAAAGUGGUUUUCCUAUAUUAUGGAGGGAAGAUAACUACAAAAACAGAAACAGAUGGCAUCGGCAGACCAAAUAAAGGAGAACUAUUAUGUUCAGUUCAAUUUUUAAGACUUCAGAAAAUCCGUUAAUAGGGCACAUCCUUGCAAAUGCCAUAUUGUAAACUGGGCUCUUUAAAAAGUGAAAAGGUGAAAGUGGUCUAGAGGAUAAGCCUCAAAUUCAAGGUUGUGAGUUCAAGACC